CCUAUGGCUGAAGCCAUAGGCUUUAUUAUCCUGCGCCUACAGCGCA
rnacentral:sRNA from 1 species